rnacentral:lncRNA from 13 species
GUUUUAAUUUUUAUAUAUUAUUCUUUUCUUUGUUUCUAGGAAAUUGUGGAAUAAUAUUGCCAAACAGUGGUAAAUUAGAACUUCUGGUUCAACAACUACUACCAAGGUCGUAGAGUAUAAAAGAAAUUGUGGGAUAAUAUUGCCAAACAUUGGAAACAAUACGAGAGCAAGCAUUUCAUAUUUUAUUGUUGACAGACCUCGCAUAUUUUAUUUUAUAAGUUCCCUCGAAGAGGUGUAUGGACGGUUCGUUUUAUGAACAUAUAUAAAAUAUGUUAGAUAUUUGCAGAUAUUGCUAAUUGAAAAAACUAUCAUUUACUUACAUUUAAAUUAAAAUUUUAGAAUAUACAAUCUCUAAUUAU